UCGCCUACAUGAAGCUGGAAUUGCUAGUAAUCACAGGUCAGCAUACUGUGGUGAAUACGUUCCCGGGCCUUGUACACACCGCCCGUCACACCAUGAGAGUUGAGAAUACCCGAAGUCCAUGUCAAAGUGGCCGAAGGUAGGCUUGAUGAUUGGGGUGAAGUCGUAACAAGGUAUC
rnacentral:rRNA from 1 species